rnacentral:rRNA from 1 species
CCCUUAGAUGUUCUGGGCCGCACGCGCGCUACACUGAUGCAUUCAACGAGUGUACCUUGGCCGAGAGGCCUGGGCAAUCUUUUGAACGUGCAUCGUGAUAGGGAUAGAUUAUUGCAAUUAUUAAUCUUGAACGAGGAAUUCCUAGUAAACGCAGAUCAUCAAUCUGCAUUGAUUACGUCCCUGCCCUUUGUACACACCGCCCGUCGCACCUACCGAUUGAAUGUUUCGGUGAAGAUUCCGGAUAGGACUUUUUUGAUUUAUUUCAAUUCUGUCUUAAAAGCUAUCUAAACCUCAACAUUUAGAGGAAGGUGAAGUCGUAACA